AGAAUCUGCCUCCAGGUCGGGGACAACAGCGGGAAACCGCUGCUAAUCCCGGAUGAGCCUAAGGGUAAAAGAUUUAUUGCCUGGGGAGGAGCUCGCGUCCGAUUAGCUAGUUGGUGAGGUAAGGGCUUACCAAGGCAACGAUCGGUAGCUGGUCUGAGAGGACGAUCAGCCACACUGGGACUGAGACACGGCCCAGACUCCUACGGGAGGCAGCAGUGGGGAAUUUUCCGCAAUGGGCGAAAGCCUGACGGAGCAAGACCGCGUGCGGGAGGAAGGCCCUUGGGUCGUAAACCGCUUUUCUUAGGGAAGAAGCUCUGACGGUACCUAAGGAAUCAGCCUCGGCUAACUCCGUGCCAGCAGCCGCGGUAAUACGGAGGAGGCAAGCGUUAUCCGGAAUUAUUGGGCGUAAAGCGUCCGCAGGCGGCUUACCAAGUCUGCUGUCAAAUACCAGAGCUCAACUCUGGGUCGGCGGUGGAAACUGGCAAGCUAGAGUACAGUAGGGGUAGAGGGAAUUCCCAGUGUAGCGGUGAAAUGCGUAGAGAUUGGGAAGAACACCGGUGGCGAAAGCGCUCUACUGGGCUGUAACUGACGCUGAGGGACGAAAGCUAGGGUAGCGAAAGGGAUUAGAUACCCCUGUAGUCUUAGCUGUAAACGAUGGAGACUAGGCGUGGCUUGUAUCGACCCGAGCCGUGCCGAAGCCAACGCGUUAAGUCUCCCGCCUGGGGAGUACGCACGCAAGUGUGAAACUCAAAGGAAUUGAGGGGGGUCCGCACAAGCGGUGGAGUAUGUGGUUUAAUUUGAUGCAACGCGAAGAUCCUUACCAAGGCUUUACAUCCCGAGAAUCUUGGUGAAAACAGGGAGUGCCUUCGGGAGCGUGGAGACAGAUGGUGCAUAGCUGUCGUCAGCUGUUGUCGUGAGAUGUUGGGUUAAGUCCCGCAACGAGCGCAAUCCUUGUCCUUAGUUGCCAGCAUUCAGUUGGGCACUAUAGGGAGACAGCCGGUGACAAACUGGAGGAAGGUGGGGAUGAAGUCAAGUCAUC
rnacentral:rRNA from 1 species